GCUCAGGAUGAACGCUAGCGACAGGCUUAACACAUGCAAGUCGAGGGGCAGCAUAAAAGUAGCAAUACUUUGGUGGCGACCGGCGCACGGGUGAGUAACGUGUAUGCAACCUACCUAUCAGAGGGGAAUAACCCGGCGAAAGUCGGAUUAAUACCGCAUAAAACAGGGACACCGCAUGGUGAUAUUUGUUAAAGAAAUUCGNUGAUAGAUGGGCAUGCGUUCCAUUAGGUAGUUGGUGAGGUAACGGCUCACCAAGCCGACGAUGGAUAGGGGAANUGAGAGGUUGGUCCCCCACACUGGUANUGAGACACGGACCAGACUCAUACGGGAGGCAGCAGUGAGGAAUAUUGGUCAAUGGGCGAGAGCCUGAACCAGCCAAGUCGCGUGAAGGAAGAAGGAUCUAUGGUUUGUAAACUUCUUUUGCAGGGGAAUAAAGUGCAGGACGUGUC
rnacentral:rRNA from 1 species